ACUUUCUCCAUCUACCAAGAUGAGGGAGUGGGUGGGAAGCGGGAAGACUGCCCCAAAUGAUCUCUAACAUCCCUUGCAGUAUCCCUCUUCCUCUUCUUCUUC
rnacentral:miRNA from 1 species